rnacentral:piRNA from 1 species
UCCNGAAGGCUGUCUAAAAAGCUGAAAAGGU